AGCAAGGCGUAGUGUCGACUUGGAUUAGCUUGGAUCACCAGAGUGGCUAGAUCUCGUCAUAAAUCUCGGCAAAGGAGAAAUCACAUAGGAGAUCUCGACGAGGAAUAUCGCAAACAGGUGAGCCUUGAUGUGGGGACUUGGGCC